CCUACGGGAGGCAGCAGUGGGGAAUUUUGCGCAAUGGGGGCAACCCUGACGCAGCAACGCCGCGUGAGUGAUGAAGGCCUUCGGGUCGUAAAGCUCUGUCAGAGGGGAAGAAAUGCAGGUGGUGAACAACCAUUCUGUUUGACGGUACCCUCAAAGGAAGCACCGGCUAACUCCGUGCCAGCAGCCGCGGUAAUACGGAGGGUGCGAGCGUUGUUCGGAAUUAUUGGGCGUAAAGCGCGUGUAGGCGGUUUGUUAAGGCGGAGGUAAAAGCCCCGGGCUCAACCGGGGAAGUGCAUUGGAUACUGGCAGACUUGAGUACGGGAGAGGAGAGUGAAAUUCCCGGUGUAGAAGUAAAAUCCGUAGAUAUUGGGAGGAACACCGAUGGAGAAGGCGGCUCUCUGGACAGAUACUGACGCUGAGACGCGAAAGCGUGGGGAGCAAACAGGAUUAGAUCCCCUGGUAGU
rnacentral:rRNA from 1 species